rnacentral:ribozyme from 12 species
GAAAAAAACAACGAAUAAAAAAAAAAUUACAAAAUUUGAUAGUGGUGUGCAUAUUUUAUCCUGGGCAGCCAUCUGCAAUAAACUUUUCUUCAAAUUCCAAUUCACUUUUUUUUUUUUUUUUUUUUUUUUUUUUCCUCU